AAAAUCGAUUUUUUUUUAUUUUAUUUUCUGAUUCUACAUAUAUUCAAGAAUACACACAAGAAAUUUCAAAUCGAUCCGGCAAAUAUUUUCGAAGUUACACGCAUAUUUGUAACGACGUCUCGGAGCGCUUGGGAGUAUAAGGCCGGAGCGGCAUCGACUACCUGAGCGCUGUCCCUUUCAUGCAUCUGUCUAUUGUAAGCAUUCCCCUUCUAAAGUGUUUAGAUGUGUAAAUCAACAGUGUGAUUAUUUUAUUUUAUACCUGAAAAGUGAGUUUAUAUUUUUUCGACCCUAAAGUGGAACAUAUUUAAGAGUGGUAGUCAGUAUACGGAGCCAAGCCAAGCUGUAAACUUGUGAGAUCGUUUAUUUUUUUGUGUGUAAUUUCCAGUGAAAAUGAAGUCUUCCCGAAUAAUGAGAAAAUCUCAUAAUGUACGUAAGUCGAGAGUAAAAAAACGUAAAAAUGUUUUCAACCCAAAAACAGCUGAAACAGAUGAAAGGAGUUUCAGUGCCUCGGCGAAAAAAUUUAAAGAGCAAGAGGAAAUCUCCGUCACACGUGAUCCGUCUGUUGAGUAUCGCAUACUAAACUUCAUUACUGUUUUUGCAGCAAUUGCUGAAUAUGUAAAGUGUAAAGUCUGUGACGGAGAUGUCAAGUUUCAAACAACUUCUGAACGAGGACUUGGUUUUCAAAUAGUUGUGCUGUGUGAUAAGUGUGCCGACCGUAGCGUAAAUUCUAGUCCGUUCGUCACGCAUUCUUAUGAAAUAAAUCGACGAUUUUUAUUUGUCAUGAGAGUUCUCGGAUUAGGAUUGAAAGGUGCAGCAAAAUUUUGUGGAUUAAUGGACAUGCGAGCUUUUAUAUCACAGCCAACUUAUGAUUUGAUAAUAAAUAACAUUCACUCCAGUGUAAAAAUAGCCACUGAAAAACUUUUUGCACAGGCUUGUACCGAAGAGAAAAAUUUGACUUCCGAUAAUCAAGGUAACGAACAUUCAACAGAAUUAACUGUAUCUGGUGAUGGCACAUGGAAAAAGCGAGGGUAUACUUCCUUGUACGGUGUGACCUCUUUGAUUGGAUAUUAUUCAGGUAAAAUAAUAGAUAUAGUUGUUAAAAGUGCCUACUGUAAACUGUGUGAAACUUGGAAGAAGAAACUUGAUACAGAAGAGUAUAAUGAAUGGUACGAAGAACAUAAAAAUACUUGCACUGCAAAUCAUGCUGGUUCCUCAGGGAAAAUGGAAGUUGAUUCAGUCGUUGAAAUGUUCAAACGUUCAUUGGAAAAACUCGGAGUCAUCUAUAAAAAUUAUAUCGGAGACGGUGAUUCCAAAACGUACUCGGGAAUUUUAAAAGUUAAACCUUAUGGUGAUGAGGAAGUUGUAAAGAAAGAAUGUAUUGGACAUGUACAGAAACGAAUGGGUACGAGACUUCGAGAUUGUGUAAAAAAAAAUGUUGAGACUGUUGAGAAUGCGAAAGGAAAAAAAAAAUACAAAAGAAAACUCUCGGUGGAAAAGGAAAACUCACUGGAAAGAUGAUCGAUAAGUUAACAGUUUACUAUGGCUUAGCAAUACGUAGAAAUUGUGAUUCCAUUGAGAAAAUGUAUAAUGCUAUCUGGGCCACAUAUUAUCACUAUUGUUCAUCUGACCAAAAACCUCAGCACGACAACUGUCCGAGUGGACCAGACUCAUGGUGCAGCUGGCAGAGGGCUGCUGCUGCCAAUGAAGUAUCUACUUUCGAACAUGAUUAUGAGCCACUACCUGAUGAUGUUGCUGAAGCUAUACGUCCGAUUUUUAUAGACCUCAGCAAUAAAAGUUUAUUGGAAAGAUGUGUCGGUGGUUUUAACCAAAACAACAACGAGAGUUAUAAUCAACUGAUUUGGAAAAUCUCUCCCAAAAUUGUUCCGGCAGGCUCGAAAACUGUAGAAACCGCUGCAUACAUAGCUGCUGGCGUCUUUAAUGAAGGAAUGGCUUCAUUAUUAUAUUAUAUGAAUGCAAUAGGAAUUACACUUGGACCCAACGCACAUUUAUAUGCCGAAAAAGAAGAUGAGCAGCGCGUGAACAUCUCCGACCGCAGAGCGCGCGAUAGCACCCGAGAUGGAAGAAUGGCUCGCAGACAACAUCAGCUCGAGUUAUUGGAAGCUAAUGAAUCAGCAGAAGGUCUCUUAUAUGGGCCUGGAAUAGAUGACACCAUAUGAUCCAGUUCAGAGAUAGAGUGGUCACCGCAAGACGUCUUUUUUUAGAGGACCUCCUGGAGAUCGGCUGUAGCUCUUCUCCAGAGAAAUAUUUUUACUAAUAAUAAGCACUAAAAUGUUGUUGAAUAAUACCAUAAUAAGUAUGUAAACUUUUGGAAUCAAUAAAUUUUAACGGCUUCUCAAAAAAAAAUCCUAAAAAUUCGCUUUUUUUCGACCCAUUAACUGUAUAUAACCCCUUAACAUGUCUAGAAUACGGUAGUAAAGCGAUUUUAGAAAAUUCGAAGUCGUUUUAAAGAUACAGCAGGUAAAAGGAAGAGCGGUUCGGAGCGCUGAGUUGGCAGUUAGAGCCCGGGCCUAUUGUGUACCGUCGGCUUUAUACGUGGCCUCCCUUUUAUUCAUAUAUCCGUUUAUACAAGUUUAGACACGUUUCUACAGACUUAAACAGAAAUUUCUAUUGUUAUAAUAUUUUACCGAAGUUAUUUUAGUCUUGGUUGAACUUCGAAGAGAGCAACAGCUACAAAUUAUUUUUUUUCAUAAUGAGUGGACGGAAAGGAAGUACGAGUGAAAAUGUUCAUCCUGGUCGUAGUAAAAAAAGAAAGUUUAGUGGAAACCGUUUUACCCACCAAAAUGAUACGGUAUUUACAUCAGCUUCGGCCAAUAAACUUAAAAAUAACAUGAACAUGGAGGUUCCCAUCGCUUCGAAUUUCGCAUAUUGCAUUUUGGAGUUUGUUUCUGUAUUUGCUGCAAUCUCUGAAAUAGUUAUAUGUAAAACUUGUAAAAGUGACGUGUCUAUUUCGCGAUCAAGUUUCCGAGGCCUAGGCUUUAAAAUUAUUUUAUCGUGUGAGUGUGAAAAACAGACAGUUAUAAACUCAGGCCCGUUGAUCGGAAAUGCAUUUGAGGUUAAUCGUCGGUUUGUAUUUGCGAUGCGAUUAUUGGGAGUUGGUCAAGAAGGAGUAAAUCUUUUCUGUAGCUUUAUGGACAUGUGUUCGGGUGUUGCAAAUUCUACUUAUACUGCACUACUGGAAAACAUUCAUAUUGCUACAUCUUCACUGUGUGAUACUUUAUUGGCAUUCGCUGUUACGCAAGAAAAAACUAUGAAUGAAAAAUCAGGAAAACCACAGGAUGAAUUGACUGUGUCAGGUGACGGUACUUGGAAGAAAAGAGGCUUUUCAUCUCUGCUCGGCGUAUCUACGUUGAUCGGCAAGUACACUGGGAAAGUUUUAGAUGUCAUGGUCAUGAGUAGUUUUUGUGGUGGAUGUAAUUUGUGGAAAAAAAAAAAAAACAAAUCCUUUAGAA